rnacentral:tRNA from 1 species
GGCUCGGUGGGAGAGUGGCUAUCCAGAGGAUUGCAAAUCCUUGUACGCCGGUUCGAAUCCGGCCCGGGCCUCCA